GAUGAACGCUGGCGGCGUGCCUAAUACAUGCAAGUCGAGCGAACGGACGAGAAGCUUGCUUCUCUGAUGUUAGCGGCGGACGGGUGAGUAACACGUGGAUAACCUACCUAUAAGACUGGGAUAACUUCGGGAAACCGGAGCUAAUACCGGAUAAUAUUUUGAACCGCAUGGUUCAAAAGUGAAAGACGGUCUUGCUGUCACUUAUAGAUGGAUCCGCGCUGCAUUAGCUAGUUGGUAAGGUAACGGCUUACCAAGGCAACGAUGCAUAGCCGACCUGAGAGGGUGAUAGGCCACACUGGAACUGGGACACGGUCCAGACGCCUACGGGAGGCAGCAGUAGGGAAUCUUCCGCAAAGGGCGAAAGCCUGACGGAGCAACGCCACGUGAGAGAUGAAGGCCUUCGGAUCGUAAAACUCUGUUAUUAGGGAAGAACAUAUGUGUAAGUAACUGUACACAUCUUGACGGUACCUAGUCAGAAAGCCACGGCUAACUACGUG
rnacentral:rRNA from 1 species